AUGCUCACCCCAUUUCAGCAUGUGCACCCCACCUGGCUGCGCAUCCGCAUCCGUGCCGUCAGCCUUCACGCACUUCAGCGUGCGCGCCCUCCUGUGUGUGCACCCUCCCCCUCAGUGAGCCCCGUCCCUCACACGUGCCCGCCUCCUCGGCAGGCGCACGAGACUUCCGUGCCGUCAGUGAGGAGACCUGCCCAAACUGGAUCCAAUGCCAGGCCAUCCCGGAAGUACAACAAUAAUUGCCAGAAAAGCCAGCCCGGAUUCACUGCCAUGAAAUCCAUUCUUGUUUUUAAAAACUGGAACGCUGAAGCAAGUGGGUGCCCCCAAACUCCACUCCAUGUCACAGCGCAGUGGCUCCAGUCUGGAGCAUCCCGAUGCAUGGAUGGAGCAGUUGCAUGGAGCCGGGUAUUGGAGCCUGCUCAAAAUUUUUGUUUUCCAUUCAAUUGGCGGGAACAAAAAGUCACGGAUUCCAACCAAAAAACAUUCCACUCCGUUAACCCUGUUGUCAAAUUGCUCCUCUCCCAGCUCCAACCUCGCUGUUGUCAACGUGUUUGGCUGACAGGGAGCUUGUUUCCCAUAUAUGGGGUCAGAGCUACCCCAGUGCCUCCACCCUCACAGCAUCGAUGGAGAUUCAGGGAAAGUGCAAGGGCGUUUAGAAACGCAGCUCUUCCCUUCAAGCCCUCUCAAACUCGAGUUGCGGCUUUUGAGCUGUUAAUAAGGAUCUCGAGGAGCCGGAGUUCCUUAAGUUUUUCUGCUGCUCUCACGGGGAAUCGUGUGCAGACUCAGAAGGUUGCCAUGGAACCUCAACACGAGCCAAGAGGAGUGGAGAGACUGCAGCCCACGCGGAGACGCCGUGCCUCCUCCGGCCCUGCCUGCGCUGACCCCCUCCCCAGCACGCGUGCUCUCCCUGCGCCUCCGCUGCAGAGGGUCCGCCCUUCUCGGCUUCCCACCAGCACUGACCACCUGGCUGCACUCUCACAAUGGCUCACCUAUCACCACCUCCCCUGGCUCCCUCCUGCCUCUGUGACCACACCCUUCCCCUCCCCGCAGCCACACAGAGCUCCACGGGCAGGCACUAGGGCCUUUGUCCUCUCCCUCUGUAGGUCACCCAUAAAUGCUCCCUGGAUUUGUAAACCGUCUGCCUAA
rnacentral:lncRNA from 1 species